CUUUACAAUAGCAGUACACGAGCUGUACAAUGUGCAAAGUGCACCGCCGUUGCACAUGACCUGCAGGUUCACAGCUGUGAACCACAGCACUCACUGCUUUCUUCAUACAUUUGAACUAUCCCUGAAUGACAGGUACGAAUUCAUAGCAAAUCCUAACAUGACCGAUGCAACUCAGCCAGCAACUCUUACCAUGGAAAAGGGUCCAACAGUCUAAUGUCAGAAAAAAUGGACACACAAAUGUUAAGCGCAUGUAACUGUACCACAAUACAGCAACUAUUGUCUUCUUAUUAAAGCGCUCAAUCCUCGCCUCCGCUGGUGUCAUCUUCAAGAACGACGGCAUAUAUCUGCAUAUGAAAGGAUCACAACAAAUCAUUGUUUAGGCAGGAACACAUAGUUGUGAGCAUGUUACGUACAAUGACGGCUGUAGGUGUGACACCGGCAUAACGUGCCUCGAAAUAAGGCAACAAAAAGCAUUUAGUUAAUAGCCAUGGUCUUGCAACCAGAGGCUUCAUACCUCCGAACGGCCGCUACGUGGCCUGCCACGUCCCGUUUGAGCCCGACUCUUGUUCAUAUCCUUACCACCAUCCUUGCGCUUGUCCUGUUCCUUGCGAUUCUCCUGCUCGUGUCCUUGGAAUGUAAAAUGCCAAGGCAUAAUGUCAGUGUAUGCACCUGCAUGAUGGCCAUUUACUGCCGGUGCCGUCUAGUCCCCCUUUUCCUGUUUUCCCCUGCUUGCCUGCGAAUGAAUGGUGCGCCAUUAUAGAGGAAGAAAGACAGAUUCUUGUUAUGAAGAUACUAAUUCAUUGGGCUUUACCUUACACUGUCGUCAUUGGAGGAUCAGCGUGAGUAUAAGAAAUGCAUACACGCUAAACAACAAAUUCAAGAUAAUCUUAUUAGUGCAAUGCGCGCAAUGAAUUACUGCCCUGAGGACACGGGCAGCACUGGGCCUUAUGCCCAACUUACUCCCAACUCCCAACUAACCCUCUUACUUAACGCAAGCUCGCAUAAGUUGUUGCGUCAGAGACAAAUGCCAAAGGAGAAGAUACCCCCUCUAACGGUUGAAAUACUGAACCACCACGGCGCUUCGUGCCUAGCCACAAGAGGGCCAAAGACGUGAGAGCUGCCAGACAGACACGCACACCGAAACUCCCGAAGCCAAACGCCUCGAAAUACCGGUCCGGAAGCCCUUUCAGCCUCCCAGGCAUGUCCCCAC
rnacentral:lncRNA from 1 species